rnacentral:rRNA from 1 species
GAUGAACGCUGGCGGCGUGCCUAAUACAUGCAAGUCGAGCGAACAGACGAGGAGCUUGCUCCUCUGACGUUAGCGGCGGACGGGUGAGUAACACGUGGAUAACCUACCUAUAAGACUGGGAUAACUUCGGGAAACCGGAGCUAAUACCGGAUAAUAUAUUGAACCGCAUGGUUCAAUAGUGAAAGACGGUUUUGCUGUCACUUAUAGAUGGAUCCGCGCCGCAUUAGCUAGUUGGUAAGGUAACGGCUUACCAAGGCAACGAUGCGUAGCCGACCUGAGAGGGUGGUCGGCCACACGGGAACUGAGACACGGUCAAGACUCCUACGGGAGGCAGCAGUAGGGAAUCUUACGCAAUGGGCGAAAGCCUGACAGAGCAACGCCGCGUGAGUGAUGAAGGUCUUCGGAUCGUAAAACUCUGUUAUUAGUGAAGAACAAAUGUGUAAGUAACUAUGCACGUCUUGACGGUACCUAGUCAGAAAGCCACGGCUAACUACGUG